GACGAACGCUGGCGGCGUGCUUAACACAUGCAAGUCGUACGGUAAGGCCCUUUCGGGGGUACACGAGUGGCGAACGGGUGAGUAACACGUGAGUAACCUGCCCACAACUUUGGGAUAACGCUAGGAAACUGGUGCUAAUACUGGCUAUGUGCUCCUGCUGCAUGGUGGGGGUUGGAAAGCUCCGGCGGUUGUGGAUGGACUCGCGGCCUAUCAGCUUGUUGGUGGGGUAGUGGCCUACCAAGGCGGCGACGGGUCGCCGGCCUGAGAGGGUGAGCGGCCACAUUGGGACUGAGAUACGGCCCAGGCGCCUACGGGAGGCAGCAGUGGGGAAUAUUGCACAAGGGGCGCAAGCCUGAUGCAGCAACGCCGCGUGCGGGAUGACGGCCUUCGGGUUGUAAACCGCUUUCAGCAGGGACGAAGCUUUUUGUGACGGUACCUGCAGAAGAAGCACCGGCUAACUACGUG
rnacentral:rRNA from 1 species